rnacentral:piRNA from 1 species
GCUGCCUCUUGUGAAAGCCACCUUGGGCUC